rnacentral:lncRNA from 1 species
AAAAAUACCAAGGCUGAUGCUUUGUCCAGGCAAUUUGAUAAUGAGUCAGCUCCGGAACAGGUGACAUCUAUUAUUCCACCAGAGUGUAUUAUUGCUACUACUGUCCUCUCAUUGUCUUCUCCACUGCUUGGCACCAUACUGGAGGCCCAGCCUCAGGUACCCAGUGGUAAACCGUGUGAUAAACUGUUCGUUCCCCUAUGUGAAAGGGUUAAUAUCAUGAAAGUGUUCCAUGACAAUAUAACUGCUGGACACCCGGG